rnacentral:rRNA from 1 species
CACUCUAAGUUGACUGCCGGUGACAAACCGGAGGAAGGUGGGGAUGACGUCAAAUCAUCAUGCCCCUUAUGAUUUGGGCUACACACGUGCUACAAUGGACAAUACAAAGGGCAGCGAAACCGCGAGGUCAAGCAAAUCCCAUAAAGUUGUUCUCAGUUCGGAUUGUAGUCUGCAACUCGACUACAUGAAGCUGGAAUCGCUAGUAAUCGUAGAUCAGCAUGCUACGGUGAAUACGUUCCCGGGUCUUGUACACACCGCCCGUCACACCACGAGAGUUUGUAACACCCGAAGCCGGUGGAGUAACCUUUUAGGAGCUAGCCGUCGAAGGUGGGACAAAUGAUUGGGGUGAAGUCGUAACAAGGUAGCCGUAUCGGAAGGUGCGGCUGGAUCACCUCCUUU